rnacentral:rRNA from 1 species
GAGUUUGAUUAUGGCUCAGGAUGAACGCUGACAGAAUGCUUAACACAUGCAAGUCAACUUGAACGUGGGUUUUUAACUUAGGUUUGGGUGGCGGACGGGUGAGUAACGCGUAAAGAACUUGCCUCACAGAUAGGGACAACAUUUAGAAAUGAAUGCUAAUACCUAAUAUUAUGAAAAUAGGGCAUCCUAUAAUUAUGAAAGCUAAAUGCGCUGUGAGAGAGCUUUGCGUCCCAUUAGCUAGUUGGAGAGGUAACGGCUCACCAAGGCGAUGAUGGGUAGCCGGCCUGAGAGGGUGAACGGCCACAAGGGGACUGAGACACGGCCCUUACUCCUACGGGAGGCAGCAGUGGGGAAUAUUGGACAAUGGACCAAGAGUCUGAUCCAGCAAUUCUGUGUGCACGAUGAAGUUUUUCGGAAUGUAAAGUGCUUUCAGUUGGGAAGAAAAGAAUGACCGUACCACNNAGAUG